rnacentral:rRNA from 1 species
UACGUAGGGGGCAAGCGUUGUCCGGAUUUAUUGGGCGUAAAGAGCGUGUAGGCGGCCUGGAAGGUCAGCUGUGAAAACUCGAGGCUCAACCUCGAGACGUCGGUUGAAACCAUCUGGCUAGAGUCCGGAAGAGGAGAGUGGAAUUCCUGGUGUAGCGGUGAAAUGCGCAGAUAUCAGGAAGAACACCCGUGGCGAAGGCGGCUCUCUGGGACGGUACUGACGCUGAGACGCGAAAGCGUGGGGAGCGAACAGG